GCCUAGGCGGCAACAAACCUCAAAAUCGUCCCUUACCUUAAAAAUUUUCCAAUCUUAUCCUCUCCCACCACAGCUCCCUCAUUCUCCCACACACGAAUAAGAGAAUUUGUGGUGGCGCAUCCACCCAGGCUCGCUACUUGCGGCUCCCAAAUCCCCAAUCUCACCUCUUCGUUCUUCAGCCCAGGCAGCGAAGGCGAUAGGGGGCAGUGCUCCUCUCUCGGCGAGAAGCGGCAAGACAGGUGUUGGGGACAUGGUUGGCGGCCAUGUGGGGGCGCCGGGGGCCUGCUGCUGGCUUGGGACUCCUUGUGGCUGUCGGAUCUAGGCGGCGGCCGACUGAGGGAAUUCACAAGGGGCCGCCGUGGAGCACCCAGCGGCUAGCGCGAUAGCGGCACCGGCACAACGUCCGAGCACCGACGUGCAGUCCACCAGGAUGACCGAAGGCAUUAUUUAGCAUCACUGUUAGUAGACAUGGUAGGUCAGAAUCAUAUCACAUAUGACUCUUGUUGUUGGGGUACCAUCUCUAUGCUUGUGUUGUCCAACUACUUAUGCUCUAAGGUCCCUAAACGUAAAUGACUUUUGUUCAAGAAACCAUAUGACUCUUGUUGUUGGGGUGCCAUCUCUAUGCUUGUGUUGUCCAA